rnacentral:sRNA from 1 species
UUCGCUUUUACCUGGCGAUCUGCUAAACACAUCCGCGCGUAGGUCCGGACUGCAACCGGGCCCUCUCUUCACAAGAGUGUCCCUGCGCG